UAUAGCUCAGUUGGUAGAUUGUGAGACUUUUAAUCUCACGGUUGUGGGUUCGAGUCCCAAGUCAGGCAGAA